ACUCCCCCAAUUUGCUCCGGCUGGACUCCACUCCAUAAUUUCCUCGAGACUUUAACCCUUUCCAAAAGAUCCUACUUUUUCUCUCACUCUCUUGACCGCAACGUCGACCAGUCAGGAGCCUAAAGGCAGAGUUAUGUCAUAUAGGGUGGAACUUUAUCCUUCUUGUUUUUACCCCCUCUCGUGAGUAAGAUUUUUUGUUGUUAGUUGUUAAAGCAGCUAUUCAGUGAGAGGAGGCAUUCCUGAAACUCUUAACUUGAGGAGGAAUAUAUAAACAUUUUGAGACAGUACCCAGGCUGGGUAGACAAUGCCUUGAAGCUCCAGCAGUGGGCCCAACAACUUGGUUGCUUGCCAGAACUUUCUUCAAAGCAAAGAGAUGGUAUCCAGACUCAGAGUUCGUGCUCGGAUCGUCUGGGGCCACCCGGACGACUGGGAACAUCGCAUCGCUUUCAUGUCGUUCUGGAAGACGACGUGAACACUGAGCCGAUUCUUCUGGGUCGACAUUUUGAAGUUCUUGCAGUCAAAUCCUAAAGCUCCCAUUUAGGAUUUUACACAGUUUGGAUUUUAAAUUCAGCUUUUUUUUAAAUACACUGAACUGUUUUUUUUAAUCCAUGUGUUUUAGUCUCUGUUGUUUUUAGCACUAGUAAACACUACGACAGUCAAGUCACCAUGCCCAGGCCGAGGGCAGGACCAGGCCCGCCAACUGAGGACACGUUUCAGCUCUCCGUGGAUGCAGAGGAAGCUCGGUCUCUCUUUUUGCAAAGAAAAUGUUUCAAAAAGACGUCCCCUUUGAGCAAAUACAUCGAGGCCGAACACCAGCAAGCAGGACUCUUCUCCCUGUCUCCGUUGGGGGCCGUUACUACCGACCUCCAGAAAAAGAGGAGGAAGAAAUGCGGCGCCUGCGCUCCCUGUUUUCGGAAGGAGAACUGCGGUACCUGCGCCAACUGUCUGAACCGCAAGACGGGCAAGCAGAUCUGCAAGGAGCGCAAAUGUGAGCAGCUGAAGAAGAGACGGAGCGAAGGCGACGUGAGCGAGGUACGAUCUCUGAUCUGAUCUUUCUAGCUGCCUGUAAGGAUAUUGUGUU